AUGAGGUUCACAUUGGCGAGUUAACUUCGGGAAUCAAAGAAGUCAAGGAGAUGGUUGAAGGUCUUGCUCGACAAAUAGCAUCGUUAUCGACUGCUAAAUCAACAGAGCCACAUGACCAUGACUCAUACUCAGAUCAAGCCAAUGCCAUAGGUGUAAUGAGAAAACCAUCAAAUUACAACCCAUACUCCAACACAUAUAACCCGGGAUGGAGAGACCA
rnacentral:lncRNA from 1 species